UUUUUAACGGAGAGUUUGAUUCUGGCUCAGAACGAACGCUGGCGGCGUGGAUAAGACAUGCAAGUCGAACGGGACU
rnacentral:rRNA from 1 species